GUGCUUACCUGGCAGGGUGGCCCUGUGAUGCUGAAGGUGGUUUCCCCAGGGUGAGGUUUAUCCAAUGCACCCCGGCGUGCUCCCCACUGUGGUGGUUCCCCCUCACCCUGUCUGGGAAACUCGACCUUGUAAUUUGUGGCAAUGGGGAAACGUGUGUGCACUCCCAU
ensembl:snRNA U1 U1 spliceosomal RNA